UAAUAACGCAGUUACGUUGGCACGCGGCGAGUAAGGGCACAUUGCUGCGCCUGACAUCUCGCUGGUUACGCUGCUGAUGUUCUCGAUCUGUGAAAUAAUCGAAUCGACCCUGUUCUUACGUACUGCAGCGUGUGGCAUGUCAGAAGCUUCACGACUUCGUUGCGUGACAAUCGGUGUUUCACGGACUACAGAAUGUUUACAGAGCCAAUAAAUUCAUAAAAUCGUCAA